AUUCUUAAGUUUAUACCCCAAACAAAGAGGAGGAGCAGGACUUUCUUAUUCAGGUGAAAUAUAAAAAUGCUCACUUUUGACCAGGCAUUGUCUUGGGACAUUCACACACACACACACACUCCUCAACUCGUCAAACGUCUGCUCAGUUGUGAUGAAGAUGGGACAACUCAAUGUUUUGGCUGUUAUGGCAGUACUCUUCUCCCUUUUCAUGGAAACUGAAGCAAGUAAGGCCAAAACUCAAUUUUCCCCUAAUUCUGUUCUGAAUGGUUGGUCAAGAAACUGGUUUGGGAAGAAUUUACAUUAAUUAGCUUCUUUUGUCCGAGUAACAAUGACCUCUUCUCUAGAAUUAAACUGUCUUUUGCAUUGCUUGGCCUGCAAACCUCUGAAUACCUUUGUAGGAUGAAAAUGUUUUUAGAUGGCCUCCUGAGUAAAGAAAUACUUUGUAAUAAAUGUUUAAAAGCACAUAAAGGUAUUUCAGGAAAAUAAUCCAAUGUGCAGUAAGGGCUACAUUAUAUAUUUUACAGUCAGUAUUUUCUCGGUGUAAAGGGUUAAAAUCUUUAUAUCAGGAGGAAGUCCUUUACCCCUUACUUAUUUGACCUCAUCUUGUGUUUCCUUUGCAGAUCCAUUUAUUUACAGUAAGUACAGACAAUUAUAUCUCCUAAUUCUUAAAAUCAAAUGCAGUGCAUCAUGUCACGUAUUGUGUGUUUAAGCCAACAUGUGUGUAACACAAUCAGCCACAGCAAAUGUGAUUGUUCAAAAAUAGUGUAGACAAACAUAUGCCUAUAAACAACAGAUUCAAAUGUUUAUGAUAACUUUCAUAAAUAAUUUUAGCAUGUGUUUGAAUUAAGUACUUUUUGUCUGCUUGUCAAAUGCAUCAUCUAAACAUCUGCCAUUAUCGCCUUACAGACUAUGAAAGGCUACGAAUCGGAGGCCUGGUCUGUUCCUGCCUGUUGUUUGGUGCAGGACUCCUAGCUAUCCUUUACACGAGGUGCAACAGGAAGCAAAAGAAAGCAGAAGAUGACAACAGUGAAAUCUGAUCUGGUGCCUGUCAAACUGGUUUUGGGCCCAGAAGAAGCGUUGACAUGCAAGGGGUGGAGAGAGAGUUGGUGGUUUGGUGGGGGGUUUGGAGGAGACACACCCUCUCAGGUGAUUUAACCUGAGCGGUCCUGUGCAAAGAGUAACAGUUUUUUGUGUGUGUGUGAAAAGAAAAGCAGAUAAAGAAAAUCAAGCCCUCUUAAGUCUUCAAAAUGUAUUCCUGUUGGUCAGAUCUGUACUGAUAUGCAAAUGAUGUUCAUUUUUAUUCAUGUAGAUGCUUAUCCCUGUAAACACACAAGUACUGGUACACUAUUUUACAUAUCCAUAUAUUCUGCUUUGUGUAGUCAUCACCAUAAUAUUGCAUAAAGCCAAUGAAAGAUGACAUCCUUAGGAGCAUGUGGUGUUAAUUGCAUAAUAAACUGUAGUAAGAUUAUCCAUGUGGUCAACCAUUUCAAUAUUUACAUUUCUACACCAACAAUUUGUUAGAAACCUUAAGUGUGCACGUGUACAAUUAAAAUAAAUGUCACUAUGUCAAAACCAAA